rnacentral:lncRNA from 1 species
AGCAAUCUGGGAGUUAUGAUCCCCCUCAAAUUCUUUACCUUUCUUUAAAUAUUCUUUAUGUCUUUUCUCAUUCACCCUGGAGUUAUCAGGAGCAUGGGGAGCACGAUCUUCACGUGCACUCACUCUAUCAGGCCUUGCUCUUCUCUCAUCCUCACGGGUCCUCAGCCUUGAAGGACUUUCAUUUUCAGCACGAUCCCUCCUUCUAAUAUGGUCGGCAUGCCUCA